UACGUAGGGUGCAAGCGUUAAUCGGAAUUACUGGGCGUAAAGCGUGCGCAGGCGGUUUUGUAAGACCGAUGUGAAAUCCCCGGGCUUAACCUGGGAACUGCAUUGGUGACUGCAAGGCUUGAGUGUGUCAGAGGGAGGUGGAAUUCCGCGUGUAGCAGUGAAAUGCGUAGAUAUGCGGAGGAACACCGAUGGCGAAGGCAGCCUCCUGGGAUAACACUGACGCUCAUGCACGAAAGCGUGGGGAGCAGACAGGAUUA
rnacentral:rRNA from 1 species